rnacentral:lncRNA from 1 species
AGGAAGAUGUGCCGCGUGGCCUUGGCUUUGUAGUGGUCCAGCUUGGACGCCAGCUCUUCUUCCCCAGAUUCCACGUUCCUCUUCCGCACGUUGAUCAGAGACAGUGGUUCUCGCCUCCCAGGCCGGCGGCUCAGCCGGGCGUGGCUCCGCGUCCCCGCCUGCGCGCGGCUUCCCUACCGCCACGGCCGAGAAGAGCACGGCGGCCGAGCCCCCGGCCAGCCCGCAGGCCGCCAGCUGCAGCGCCUGCCGGAACGCCAUGCCG